rnacentral:rRNA from 1 species
GACGAACGCUGGCGGCGUGCCUAAUACAUGCAAGUCGAACGCACAGUUUAUACCGUAGCUUGCUACACCAUAGACUGUGAGUUGCGAACGGGUGAGUAACGCGUAGGUAACCUGCCUGGUAGCGGGGGAUAACUAUUGGAAACGAUAGCUAAUACCGCAUAAUAUUAAUUAUUGCAUGAUAAUUAAUUGAAAGGUGCAAUUGCACCACUACCAGAUGGACCUGCGUUGUAUUAGCUAGUAGGUGAGGUAACGGCUCACCUAGGCGACGAUACAUAGCCGACCUGGGAGGGUGAUCGGCCACACUGGGACUGAGACACGGCCCAGACUCCUACGGGAGGCAGCAGUAGGGAAUCUUCGGCAAUGGACGAAAGUCUGACCGAGCAACGCCGCGUGAGUGAAGAAGGUUUUCGGAUCGUAAAGCUCUGUUGUAAGAGAAGAACGGGUGUGAGAGUGGAAAGUUCACACUGUGACGGUAUCUUACCAGAAAGGGACGGCUAACUACGUG